CUGGCAAGCAGAGGAGCUAAAUUCAAGUCUGAAGACGGCUCUGUUUCUCCACCUCCAGUCAGUAAUGGGGAGCCUUGAGCCAUUCAUGACACACCAGUUGCCUGAAAAGAGGUGAAGAUGGAAUCACAUAGGAUGUUAAAGCUGCGUUAUCACUUCUGGUUGGACUAGGAUCAAGAAAUGAAUUCAAGGAACAACCAAUGUCAUAGAACCAUCCCUCCAAUGAGAUGCCAGAAGGAUGAAAAGAUUUUAUCUUCCCUCUUGUGUUUCGCAAAGCUCAAUUGAAACCAAGACUGUCUCCUUUUUCUUCACCAAUAUUCAUCCAUGACUAUAUAAGACGCUCCUGUAGGGUAAGAACUAUGUUUUGUCUGUCUGUGGCUCCAGCCCAGUGAUGGUUAUGAGUAGGCACUAAACCUGUGCUAGGAUUGUUUAUUAAUAUCCAAUAAUCAAUAAUGAUUCUUAAUAUCAAUAAGUACAAAUUUUAUUAAUGGCAACUCAGGGUGGUUAGUGACUUGUCUCUUUUCCCUUCUUUCCCAGCAAGAUUUCCCUUGGGUUUAAGUUCCAGGAGACACACAUGCAUUCUUCCUGGACAGGCUUAUGCCUUGAGUCCUUGUCUGCUUUCCUUCCCUGGGAAGGACUCAUCAAUGAUGUGUUUCUCUCCCUUAAAAUAUUAGACCUGGAGAAAGCCCUAAUCAGUCAGUUGGACUGCUUCACUUCUUCUGAAAUAGAAGCCUGAAACCUGGUCAGCACUUUUGAGGCCAACAGGACACCCAAGGACCCUCAGGACACCAACAAUCUCCUCAACACUAGGCUAAAAUGAGUUUACUAAAAGCUCCUUUACUUUAAGUCCAUUCUAAUUACCUCUCUAUCCAAUGUCCUAAGACAAGAAUAUCUUGCAUGUAAUAGUCACUAAUAAAAUUUUGAUUUUUAAUGGAUUGAUGUAUGAAUGUACCAACCAAACAAUGAAUACACCAGUGAGUGAAUAAAAAGUGGGUAAGGAAAUGUAGAAUGGAUGGAUGGUGGGAAGCAGCUGCAUAACACAGGGAGAUCAGCUCGGUGCUU